CCUGAGGUGCUAGCUCUCUUGUAGAGGUCGCUUCCUGAUGGUUGAUUGAAGAUCCUCUUCAAAUCUCAGACUCUCUUAGAGAAGAAGAAGUAUUGGAGGAAGAAGAAGAGGAAGAGGAGGAAAAAACCCUUUCUUUUCUCUCUUUCUAAAACCCCAUCCCUAAGAGGAAAGGGCCAUGCCUAAAGCCUCAUUGCCAACCCCUUUCUCUAUUG
rnacentral:lncRNA from 1 species